rnacentral:rRNA from 1 species
AGAGUUUGAUCCUGGCUCAGGAUGAACGCUAGCGACAGGCUUAACACAUGCAAGUCGAGGGGCAGCAUAAUGGAUAGCAAUAUCUAUGGUGGCGACCGGCGCACGGGUGCGUAACGCGUAUGCAACCUACCUUUAACAGGGGGAUAACACUGAGAAAUUGGUACUAAUACCCCAUAAUAUCAUAGAAGGCAUCUUUUAUGGUUGAAAAUUCCGAUGGUUAGAGAUGGGCAUGCGUUGUAUUAGCUAGUUGGUGGGGUAACGGCUCACCAAGGCGACGAUACAUAGGGGGACUGAGAGGUUAACCCCCCACACUGGUACUGAGACACGGACCAGACUCCUACGGGAGGCAGCAGUGAGGAAUAUUGGUCAAUGGACGCAAGUCUGAACCAGCCAUGCCGCGUGCAGGAUGACGGCUCUAUGAGUUGUAAACUGCUUUUGUACGAGGGUAAACGCAGAUACGUGUAUCUGUCUGAAAGUAUCGUACGAAUAAGGAUCGGCUAACUCCGUGCCAGCAGCCGCGGUAAUACGGAGGAUUCAAGCGUUAUCCGGAUUUAUUGGGUUUAAAGGGUGCGUAGGCGGCACGCCAAGUCAGCGGUGAAAUUUCCGGGCUCAACCCGGAGUGUGCCGUUGAAACUGGCGAGCUAGAGUACACAAGAGGCAGGCGGAAUGCGUGGUGUAGCGGUGAAAUGCAUAGAUAUCACGCAGAACCCCGAUUGCGAAGGCAGCCUGCUAGGGUGAAACAGACGCUGAGGCACGAAAGCGUGGGUAUCGAACAGGAUUAGAUACCCUGGUAGUCCACGCAGUAAACGAUGAAUACUAACUGUUUGCGAUACAAUGUAAGCGGUACAGCGAAAGCGUUAAGUAUUCCACCUGGGGAGUACGCCGGCAACGGUGAAACUCAAAGGAAUUGAC